AUAUAUAAAAUGGCGUAUAUGGAUUUGAGUUAUAGUGAGUAAUUUAAU
rnacentral:guide_RNA from 1 species